CCAGAAGCAACAGCAGCAGCCAGCAGCAGCGUGCAAGCUUAAGCGUUAGCAAGAGAGAGAGAGAGGUGGCAUUUGACUGCCACGCUUCGUCAGCUGUUCGGGGGCCGACGAGGCGACGUCUUCGGGUUCGUGGCUUGCCGUCGCGUCGCUUGUCGUGUGUGCGGAAGUGCAGAGCGCUUGCUGCUUGCUGGCGUCGGCGUCGAAACGCAGCGUAAGUGCAAGGCCAAACGCGUGCGAGAGAGAGCAAGAAAAAGUCGCUAGCAGUGAGAGGGAAUGCGGUGUGCGUUUGUGGGUGUGUGUGGUGUGUUUGUGUGUUUUUGUAUGCGCGACUGGCAAGUGUAACUGAUCGCGUUAGACGUGCGAAGACAGAGACUGAGAAAGAUGAAGAGGGCGAGGGACAGCGCGUGUAUAAUGUGUACAGUUUCUUUCCCAGUCGCAGUCCCCCUCAUAGUGAGCGCACCCUUCUCCACUGCCAUGACUAUUCCAUUCCGCGAAAGCACGCGCGUGCCCUUGAAAACUUAACCCACUGGCAGCCAACGACGGCGAACGCCAAAAGCAGCUGUUGCCAACACGCCCCCACCGCUCCAUACCCACACACCCCGCCACAACAAACGCGCCAUCAAACAGUUUUGCUCGCAAACAAAAGAAAGUGCACAAAUUGUUGAAAUUUUCUUAGCGAAAUCAGCAACGAAUCGGCAAACCAAUGCCCCGAAAAACAGCAAAAACCAUUCCUCGAAUCUCGCACGUACUCGCAAAAUGUUGCUUAGAGAGGUAACCCCGACACACACCCUUAGAUACCCCCUGCUCGACCAGGUCCAAGUGGCCAACAAUUUUCAUUGCCAAAUACAAUUUUUAUACAAAUGCGGUACGGUUUUUAUUUGUUGAGCUAUUUUUCGUCAUUUGUUGCGCAAAAGGAACGAAAAUAAAUCGCCAAAAACCAAACAUCAAACGAGAAACGCAAAACGUAAAAGGAAAUCCCUUGGAUACCCUUUGUAGAUUAAACGGUACUAUGGAAUAAUAUGGGCUUAUGUGAGCAAAAUAUGAAAAGAUAUUAGAAUAUAGAGCACAGAAAAUAUCAGAAAGCUGUGGGCAGGUGCCAAGAACACUUGGUGUUUAAGGGUUAAGAAGAUAACAAAUAGAAGAAACCAAAAAAUAAGCUAAGAUUUUAUAGCGUAACUCCAUUUGCAGCUAAAUGAAGUGUGAAACAAACACUUAAGGGGACAUACAAGUCUCAAAACAAAAUUCCAGAUAUGCAUACAUAUGUACGUUAUAUGUACAUAUAUCCAUAUUUAUGUACAGACCGUUGCAGAUUGAAAACUAUUUCUAGUGUAUUUAUUUAAACUUAUUAGAAUUUUAUAAAUUGCGAGGCUCGGCUUUGAUUAUUUUCAUUGAUGUAUGCACUAUGUACAUAUGUAUUUAUGUAGAAUGUACUAUGUAAUAUGUACGUGUCGCUAUUGCGUGGUUAUGUGUGGGUUCUCUUGAUAAGGCGGGCCUCCCCCCAUCUCAUAUUCGAUCGAGAAAAACUAUUUGAAAUUGCAAACGGCAAAGACUUUCUACUUAUGUAAAUACAUACAUACAUAUGUACAUAUCUACGUACAUUUGUGUGUUUUGUUUGUGUAUUUUAUGUGCGCACGCUGCCAAUUGCGAGUGGGGGGAAAAAUACCAUGUUCAAGGUCGUGCGGCGAAUGCACCUAAAGCUACAGCAACAACAACAAGUCGAAGGGAGAAUGAAAAAGAGAGCAGACAAGCAGGCUUCUUCAUGAACCAAAGAUUUUGAUACACUCAAACGAGAGCAUUACAUUUACAUUAGAUAUAAUCUUUAAGUUUGAAACAGUUAUGCAUAGUGUGAUCCGAGCUGUGGAAAGUCUUUCGACUGAAAGCUUUACGCUCAGUGGUUCAACAUCUGUACCAAAGUCGGGGUACCCUUUAUUACAGGGUAUAAAAAUAACCCACAGAAAUUCUGUCCCUAACAUACGCAAAAUGUUUGAGUUCUACAAAUUGCAAAAAACUAGUGUAAAUAUGUACAAUACCCAUAUACGAGUAUAUAACGGCUAUAUCCAUACGUACAUACAUUCACAUACGAGAUUGCUGCUUGGUCGUCAAUUGCAAACGCGUCGCGUCGCUGCCAUUGAAUUUUCACUGUCAAGGUCGAGCGUUGUUCUGAUGCGCAACGCAAUGCGCAAUGCGAUCGCUAGACAGAGACGCAGCAUUUACCAAAAGCGGGAGAGAAGGCACGCAGAGAGCGAAGAGAGUGGCAAAGUGUGCGAAACGAAAACGAGAACGAGUGCACAAAAGCUAUGAGAGAAUGCACACAAGCACACACACACGAGAGUACUGCGCUGGCCUGGCCUGGGCUGCUUCUUCCGCACAGUGGGUGUGGCGGGAAUGGAAAUUUACAACACAUAUAAUAUACCCAAACUAUUCAAAUAUAUUUCUAAUAAAAAUAACAAGAAAGGAACAUUUAGCAGAAUAGAGGCUUCAGGCUGUCCGCACAUAUUUCUUUUAAACAUUUAAUAUUUUUCUCGCUUUAUGCAUAGCUACUAUUCCCCGAGCACACACAUUCUUGUUCCUACACAAAUUGUUGAUAUAUAUUUUUUUUUUAUACUUCGUUUCAUAAUUUUUGUGGUUUAUCAUUUUUCAGCGAUCACCUCUUAACCCACUGUGGAUGGAUGUGUGAGUGUGUGUGUGUGUGUGUGGGCGCAUUUGGCGGAAACGAUAUGCGGCUGCGGCUUAUGUAAUGCACGACAACAACAACGACAGCGUCUCGUUGGCAGCGUCAAAUGCAUACGCACACACGCUCCACGUGGACCCCCUCCCUUCUGACGCUGCCACAGGGCCACCGUUUGGCCCUCUCCACCGCUUCCUGCACUUUGUUGUUGCUGCUGCUGCAGCUUUUUGUUAUUGUCGUUUUGGCGGCUGUCGGCUGUGCUUUUCAUAUCGCGCUCUGGCUCUGGCCUUUUGAAGGGGUAUUCUUAUUUUGAUGUUAUGUUUGCAAUGCUCGGCUAAAAGUUUUGCCCAUGGUUAUCGAUCAAUGUCCAAAAGGGUAUCCAAAGCCUCGAUGCGUUUUUUGUUUUUUGUUUUAUGUGCUCAACUUUUUUGCAUGUUUUUCUAUCGCAUUUGUUUUCUCAAGUUCGCGCGGCGGCUCUUGUGCAAUUUGUCAUAAUGCCCCAGCAGAGGCGACCCUUCCAUUCCCGCAAUUCCGAGCACAGCCUCACCCACACUCACACUCGCAAGCACACACGCACAGAUACAGACACACUGAGUAUGCGUAAUAUUUCAAAGGAGAAGAAAAUUGCAGCGUAAACAAAAACAAGCCGCCGCCAAAUGCACUUUUUGCCAUAAAUCAAGGAAGAGCAAGAAGAAGAGAAGGGGAAGGGUGUGCCGGUAGACAGACAGAACGGCGCCACGCCCUCAACUGAGCAACAUGAAGACAUAAUUUGACAUAAGCGAUGUUAAAGUUCACCAAAAUCCAGCAAAAUAACAACAAAAUCAGCAACAAAAAGCUCCAAAGUGCAUGCCAUAAAAGCAAAACAGAACAUGAGAAACUCUAAGCUCUGAGCCGAAGCUGUAAAUACCCUUUCAAACAUAAGUACAUAUGUACAUAUGAGGGUAUCAAUGUGUACCCUGUAGUAAGGGUACCCAAAACACGCAGAGAGAGAGAAGGAGAAAAAGAGCUUUAAGCAUUUGACUAUUAAUGAUAAUGGGGUGGAGCAGGAACCAGCAGCAGCAGCAGUUAGGAGCGGUAGAGUUGUAAGCAAUGAUUGACUCGAGCUCAAAACUUGACGACGGCACCGUCAGCAUCGAGGCAGCGGUCGACGGUCGGCGGUCGGCUCUUUUGGUGAUAAUGUCAAAGGCGGCCAACAAACGGUCUGGCACUGAGCACGUCUACCUACCCCAGCCCCCGUCGCAUGCUUAAUCAUGCGCGGAGCUUCAGGAAGGAAAAAAAAAAAUGGAAAUGCAGCAGCAAAAGCAGCGCCUGUCAAAGCUGCGAUUAAUCUCACUCACAGAUGCUAGAGUGAGAAACAGAGAGAGCGCGAGAGAGGGUGUGAUCGGCAGAGAGGCUCUCUCUCGCUUCUUCCAUAGCUGAAGCAGAGGAAGGAGAGCAAUGCGCACAGUGGCACAGAAGUGAUUUUAUUUGGCAAAAUGCACUUCGAUCUAUCCAGGGAAAACCUAGAAAAUAUUUAUUUUUACUCAAUCCAGCUGUGAUCUAUUGCCAUGUUCACAUUCAAUUACGGAAAGUGAUUGAUGGCUGGAAAACCAGUCCCAAAAUUUAAGAAUAUUUCAAGAGAAAUUUAUUUCUGUGCAAAUUAAAAGCAAAUCAAACUUUUUUCUUAAGGAAACCCCCAAACGAAAAGCCUUUCCGGCUCCUCUUUGUGUCACUGUGGCUAACCAGCGGCACUCAUAAUUGAGAUAUGAACUUGGUAAUAAUUCAUAAAAGAGAAAUAAAAAAAAAGGAAAAGAAAAUAUAUAAAAGAAAAAGCCUGGCCAAGAGGCAGAGGACUGUUCAGCCAGUUGGCCAAGGACUGGCAGCAGCAGCAGCAUCGACGACGCAGACGCGAACACAGAGAACGAUCGCGCGGCUUGUUCGUCUAGAAAUAACUUAAUUGUCACUCAAUUACUCAGUUUUCAGCUAAAAGCAUUCAUUGCUCUGGCUUAACGUCAAAAUGCAGUGGAGAGCAGAGAGAGCGAAGUGGCUAGAGCCAGGGGAACCCGUCGCCUAGGCGUGAAUAAUAGUCCCAAAGCCGUCCAAGGCGUCCAUUGGCCAUGGCCGGUGAAUGAAAAUUGAUGAGUUGCGACAGUUUUUGGCCAAAGGGCAAAAACCAGCCAAAGGAAAAGGUGCCUGCAUGCCUGCCUGCCUGCCUGCCUGCCUCGAAAACGGGGCACGGCCGCCAUGCCACAAGAACGUUCCUCUCUCUCGAGAGUGGUGUGGCAUGGUAUUGGAGGAUUGAAGGGUGAGCGGGGGUUAAUAAUGGACAAACUACUUUGUCAU
rnacentral:lncRNA from 1 species